GAUGAAGAGUCCCAAAUAGGACGAAAUGCGUAUCC
rnacentral:hammerhead_ribozyme from 1 species